rnacentral:rRNA from 1 species
ACUCAAAUGAAUUGACGGGGGCCCGCACAAGCGGUGGAGUAUGUGGUUUAAUUCGACGCAACACGAAAAACCUUACCUGGGCUUGAAGAGCCGGUGGUAAAACCUGGAAACAGGAAUGACCCGCAAGGGAGCCGGUAGAGGUGCUGCAUGGUUGUCGUCAGCUCGUGUCGUGAGAUGUUGGGUUAAGUCCCGCAACGAGCGCAACCCUUAUCCUAUGUUGCCACGUGCCCGCAAGGGUGCCGCACUCUUAGGAAACUGCCGGUGAUAAACCGGAGGAAGGUGGGGACGACGUCAAAUCCUCAUGGCCUUUAUGUCCAGGGCUACACACGUACUACAAUGGCCAGGUACAGAGGGAUGCAAGACCGCAAGGUGGAGCCAACCCCUAAAACUGGCCCCAGUUCAGAUUGUGGGCUGCAAUUCGCCCACAUGAAGUCGGAAUCGCUAGUAAUCGCAAAUCAGAAGGUUGCGGUGAAUACGUUCCCGGGCCUUGCACACACCGCCCGU